rnacentral:ribozyme from 1 species
AAAGAACAAGAAGAAUCGUAAGGAGAAGAAGAAGAAUGCCAAACUCUCUCUUCCUCUCUUUUCUCUUCACUGUUCCCCUCUUCCCUCUCUCUCUUUCUCCCUCUCUCUUUUCCCCCUUAUCCUUUUCUUUGAAAUCACACGUAGGGAGGU